GAUCAACUCUACACAGUACUACAGUAGAUCAUCAUACGACCUGUGGUAAAAGGCAAAGUCAGCAAUAGAGAAUCAAUGUGAAUUGUCUUUCUUUUUUCAAGGACCGCCAAGAACGCAUGCCAUAGCAGCAGAUUUUUUGUUUGUUUGUGAAAUAAUUGUAUAUACUUAGUACCAAUUUCAAAUAAAAUUCAACUACAGCUCGUACCGCACCUAGGACAGAACAAACAAAAGAACAAAACUCUGAAGGUUCGAGACACACUUACGAAUAAUGCAAAAGUGUAUCAAAAAACAUAAUAAAACCCAUAUUGAAAAGCCUAAACGAAGGUGCAAAAGUACCAAAAAGACCUCGCAGAAAUUCGAGAUGUUAGAAAGGUUGGAUAUGAUGCAUGAAAGCGACCUUGAUGAAUGGCCGAAUGAAGUCAGCGAACAAGUGUCCCGCAGGGAAACCAUGAAUGUGAAUAUAUUCUCAGGAACUGGUACAUGGACAAGCAUUACAAAAUAAAAAAGCAUCAUCUACAAAUUGUUCCAAAUUAUUUGGUAUUGAUUACCAUAGCAGCAUCCUCAGACAGCAAUGCUUUGUAGGACUGUCGAUGUGACUUCAAGUUAAAUAAACGGUCAAACAAUGAGGCAUAGUUUGGAAAAAAUGUA